rnacentral:rRNA from 1 species
AGUGAACGCUGGCGGUAGGCCUAAUACAUGCAAGUCGAACGGCAGCACAGUAAGCGCUUGCUCUUACGGUUGGCGGGUGACGGACGGGUGAGGAAUACAUCGGAAUCCACUUUUUCGUGGGGGAUAACGUAGGGAAACUUACGCUAAUACCGCAUAUGACCUACGGGUGAAAGCAGUAGAUCUUCGGAGCUUGCGCGAUUGAAUGAGCUGAAGUCGGAUUAGCUAGGUGGGAAGGUAAAGGCCCACCCAGGCGACGCUGCGUAGCUGGUCUGAGAGGGUGAUCCGCCACAAUUGAAAUGAGACACGGGCCAGAAUCCUACGGGGGGGAGCAGUAGGGAAUUUUUGGCAAUGGGCGAAAGCCUGACGCAGCCAAGCCGCGUGGGUGAAGAAGGUCUUCGGGUUGUAAAACCCUUUUUGUAGGGAAGAAAAAACGGCAGGUUAACUCCCCACGUUUCGACGGGACCCAAAAAGAUAGCCACGGCCAACUUCGUU